UACGUAGGGUGCAAGCGUUGUCCGGAAUUAUUGGGCGUAAAGAGCUCGUAGGCGGUCUGUCGCGUCUGCUGUGAAAACCUAGGGCUUAACUCUGGGCGUGCAGUGGGUACGGGCAGGCUAGAGUGCGGUAGGGGGAGACUGGAAUUCCUGGUGUAGCGGUGAAAUGCGCAGAUAUCAGGAGGAACACCGGUGGCGAAGGCGGGGUCUCUGGGGCCGUAACUGACGCUGAGGAGCGAAAAGCAUGGGGGAGCGAACAGG
rnacentral:rRNA from 1 species